rnacentral:rRNA from 1 species
UACGAGGGGGGCAAGCGUUGUUCGGAAUCACUGGGCGUAAAGGGCGCGUAGGCGGCUCAUGAAGGCUGUGGUGAAAGUCCGGGGCUCAACCUCGGAUCGGCCGUGGCGACUCGUGGGCUGGAGCACUGUAGAGGCGGGUGGAAUUCCGGGUGUAGCGGUGGAAUGCGUAGAGAUCCGGAAGAACACCAGUGGCGAAGGCGGCCCGCUGGGCAGUGGCUGACGCUGAGGCGCGACAGCGUGGGGAGCAAACAGG